GCUGGGGGUGGUGGUGCACACCUGUAAUCCCAGUGGCUUAGGAGGCUGAGGCAGGAGGAUCUUGAGUUCAAAGCCAGCCUCAGCAAUGGUGAGGUGCUAAGCAACUCAGUGAGACCCUGUCUCUA
rnacentral:sRNA from 1 species